rnacentral:rRNA from 1 species
UACGUAGGGCGCAAGCGUUGUCCGGAAUUAUUGGGCGUAAAGGGCGCGUAGGCGGCUUGGUCAGUCAGGCGUGAAAUUCCUGGGCUUAACCUGGGGACUGCGCUUGAUACGGCCAGGCUUGAGGAUGGAAGAGGGUCGCGGAAUUCCCAGUGUAGAGGUGAAAUUCGUAGAUAUUGGGAAGAACACCGGUGGCGAAGGCGGCGACCUGGUCCAUUACUGACGCUGAGGCGCGACAGCGUGGGGAGCAAACAGG